AUCUACCUCGUUGACCAGAAGAGUUUCCUUCCGGUCAACGAGGGUACAUCCUUGUUGAUCGGAAGGAACCCCUUCCGAUCAAAGAGGUCGAU
rnacentral:miRNA from 1 species